AGUUUCUUCCAGAGAUAGACAUGGAGGGACUUUCAAAUCCACCGCAUAUAUUACCUUAAAUCAACUGAGGAGGAGUUCAAAGCUUGGUGAGUUGAUGACCACCCUUGACAAAAUGCUAGAUGAGCCACAAGAUUACAAGCCACCUUUCUUCUGGGGUUGCUUAGAAACUGAAGCACAGUAUCCUCUGAUGGUGGAAGUUGGGAAUGUUAACAGAAAACGUCUCGUGUUAACGUUAA